rnacentral:tRNA from 1 species
UCUUUAAUAGUUUAAAUAAAACAUUAGUUUUGUAAACUAAAAUUGAAAUUUUCUUAAAGAA